rnacentral:hammerhead_ribozyme from 1 species
AUUCAGAUGACGAGUCCAAAACAGGAAGAAAUGCGCAUCCCUAAU